UUUUAGUUCUGCAUUGCGUUAAGGAUAGUAGUGGAAAGCCCACAGGGAGGCACGACCGAGGACUUGCAACGGAUAGCCCGACGCCGA
rnacentral:sRNA from 1 species